rnacentral:rRNA from 1 species
GAUGAACGCUGGCGGCGUGCCUAAUACAUGCAAGUCGAGCGAACAGACGAGGAGCUUGCUCCUCUGACGUUAGCGGCGGACGGGUGAGUAACACGUGGAUAACCUACCUAUAAGACUGGGAUAACUUCGGGAAACCGGAGCUAAUACCGGAUAAUAUAUUGAACCGCAUGGUUCAAUAGUGAAAGACGGUUUUGCUGUCACUUAUAGAUGGAUCCGCGCCGCAUUAGCUAGUUGGUAAGGUAACGGCUUACCAAGGCAACGAUGCGUAGCCGACCUGAGAGGGGGAUCGGCCACACUGGAACUGAGACACGGUCCAGACGCCUACGGGAGGCAGCAGUAGGGAAUGUUCCGCAAUGGGCGAAAGCUUGACGGAGCAACGCCGCGUGAGUGAUGAAGGUCUUCGGAGCGUAAAACUCUGUUAUUAGGGAAGAACAAAUGUGUAAGUAACUAUGCACGUCUUGACGGUACCUAAUCAGAAAGCCACGGCUAACUACGUG